rnacentral:rRNA from 1 species
GACGAACGCUGGCGGCGUGCUUAACACAUGCAAGUCGAACGGAAAGGCCCUGCUUUUGUGGGGUGCUCGAGUGGCGAACGGGUGAGUAACACGUGAGUAACCUGCCCUUGACUUUGGGAUAACUUCAGGAAACUGGGGCUAAUACCGGAUAGGAGCUCCUGCUGCAUGGUGGGGGUUGGAAAGUUUCGGCGGUUUGGGAUGGACUCGCGGCUUAUCAGCUUGUUGGUGGGGUAGUGGCUUACCAAGGCUUUGACGGGUAGCCGGCCUGAGAGGGUGACCGGCCACAUUGGGACUGGGAUACGGCCCAGACUCCUACGGGAGGCAGCAGUGGGGAAUAUUGCACAAUGGGCGGAAGCCUGAUGCAGCAACGCCGCGUGCGGGAUGACGGCCUUCGGGUUGUAAACCGCUUUCGCCUGUGACGAAGCGUGAGUGACGGUAAUGGGUAAAGAAGCACCGGCUAACUACGUG